GAGGAAGGAUGCUUUCGAUUGUAACUGCUAGCAUUUCCACAAGUACUUUACAAACAUAAAGUCAUUCUAGCCCAGACUGAUUGGCUGAAAAUAGAGAAGAGAAAGAGAGAACAGCCUUGUUAUUCAUCACAAUCUCCAUCUUUCAAAUAUCAUGGAGUCUCUGAGGCCAGCCUUGCUUCAAGCACUUUUUCCUCCAGUGCCUCUGUAGACUGCCUUUUGAAGAUGGGAUCUUAAUGACACCAACAACUUGGAAGUGACAUUACAUGGCUGACCUGCAAGAAACAAUUACUCUCAGUGUGAGAUUUAUGAAGAAUGUAAUUCAGAAGGCCAUCAACAGCUGGUCCCCUCUCAGUAUCUCAAAACUGGAGAGAGUCAAAUCUAUCAAGAUGGUUUUACCUCCCUAGAUUAAUUGCAUGUUUAGAAUUCUUUCUGAUUAAUUAUCUCCAAUGUCUUCAACAUUUGAAGUGUCUUAAUUUGGAAGCAGGGUGAAACAAGACUCUUGCAAGCAAAACUUGGUUUGAUGGCCAGUUGUUGGAAUGGGAUCCAAAACAAUAAAUGUGGGAAAUUCAGUCAUAUUUU